rnacentral:rRNA from 1 species
GACGUAGGGCGCGAGCGUUUGUCCGGAUUUAUUGGGCGUAAAGAGCUCGUAGGCGGCUUGUCGCGUCGAAUGUGAAAACUCGGGGCUCAACUCCGAGCUUGCAUUCGAUACGGGCAGGUUAGAGUUCGGUAGGGGAGACUGGAAUUCCUGGUGUAGCGGUGAAAUGCGCAGAUAUCAGGAGGAACACCGGUGGCGAAGGCGGGUCUCUGGGCCGAUACUGACGCUGAGGAGCGAAAGCGUGGGGAGCGAACAGG